rnacentral:rRNA from 1 species
CCAAACGGGGGGAAUUGCCCCAGUACGGCGAGUGAAGCGGCAAAAGCUCAAAUUUGAAAUCUGGCCUCCUACGGGGGUCCGAGUUGUAAUUUGUAGAGGAUGCUUCGGGUGUGGCCGCCGUCUAAGUUCCUUGGAACAGGACGUCAGAGAGGGUGAGAAUCCCGUCUUGGGCGGCCGGUCCGCGCCCGUGUGAAGCUCCUUCGAAGAGUCGAGUUGUUUGGGAAUGCAGCUCUAAGCGGGUGGUAAAUUUCAUCUAAAGCUAAAUACUGGUCGGAGACCGAUAGCGCACAAGUAGAGUGAUCGAAAGGUUAAAAGCACCUUGAAAAGGGAGUUAAACAGCACGUGAAAUUGUUGAAAGGGAAGCGCUUGCGGCCAGACUCGGGGGCGGGGUUCAGCGGGUGCUCGUCGCCCGUGCACUCCCCGUCUCCCGGGCCAGCAUCAGUUUCGACGGCCGGUCAAAGGCCUCCGGAAUGUGUCGUCUCUCGGGACGUCUUAUAGCCGGGGGUGCAAUGCGGCCCGUCGGGACUGAGGAACGCGCUUCGGCUCGGAUGCUGGCGUAAUGGCCGUAAGCGGCCCGUCUUGAAACACGGACCAU